GACAGAGGGGGCAAGCGUUGCUCGGAAUUAUUGGGCGUAAAGAGCUCGUAGGCGGUUUGUCGCGUCUGCUGUGAAAGACCGGGGCUCAACUCCGGUUCUGCAGUGGGUACGGGCAGACUAGAGUGCAGUAGGGGAGACUGGAAUUCCUGGUGUAGCGGUGAAAUGCGCAGAUAUCAGGAGGAACACCGGUGGCGAAGGCGGGUCUCUGGGCCGAAACUGACGCUGAGGAGCGAAAGCGUGGGGAGCAAACAGG
rnacentral:rRNA from 1 species